UAAACCUCUUUCAUUACCGACGAAGCUCAGUGUUGAUCUGGGUGACGGUAGGUGGAGAAGAAGCACCGGCCAACUACGUGCCAGCAGCCGCGGUAAUACGUAGGGUGCGAGCGUUGUCUGGAAUUAUUGGGCGUAAAGGGCUCGUAGGCGGUUUGUCGCGUCGGGAGUGAAAACACCGGGCUUAACUCGGUGCUUGCUUUCGAUACGGGCAGACUGGAGGUAUGCAGGGGAGAACGGAAUUCCUGGUGUAGCGGUGAAAUGCGCAGAUAUCAGGAGGAACACCGGUGGCGAAGGCGGUUCUCUGGGCAUUACCUGACGCUGAGGAGCGAAAGUGUGGGGAGCGAACAGGAUUAGAUACCCUGGUAGUCCACACCGUAAACGUUGGGCGCUAGGUGUGGGAUCCAUUCCACGGGUUCCGUGCCGCAGCUAACGCAUUAAGCGCCCCGCCUGGGGAGUACGGCCGCAAGGCUAAAACUCAAAGGAAUUGACGGGGGCCCGCACAAGCGGCGGAGCMUGCGGAUUAAUUCGAUGCAACGCGAAGAACCUUACCUGGGUUUGACAUACACCCUGCCGCUCCAGAGAUGGGGUUUYUUUUGGGGGUGUACAGGUGGUGCAUGGCUGUYGUCAGCUCGUGUCGUGAGAUGUUGGGUUAAGUCCCGCAACGAGCGCAACCCUYGUCCUAUGUUGCCAGCGGGUCAUGCCGGGGACUCAUAGGAGACUGCCGGGGUCAACUCGGAGGAAGGUGGGGAUGACGUCAAGUCAUCAUGCCCCUUAUGUCCAGGGCUUCACGCMUGCUACAAUGGCCGGUACAAAGGGCUGCGAUCCCGUGAGGGGGAGCGAAUCCCAAAAAGCCGGUYUCAGUUCGGAUUGGGGUYUGCAACUCGACCCCMUGAAGUUGGAGUCGCUAGUAAUCGCAGAUCAGCAACGCUGCGGUGAAUACGUUCCCGGGCCUUGUACACACCGCCCGUCACGUCMUGAAAGUYGGCAACACCCGAAGCCCAUGGCCCAACCCGCUGCGGGGGGGAGUG
rnacentral:rRNA from 1 species